rnacentral:rRNA from 1 species
UACGUAGGCAGCAAGCGUUGUUCGGAAUUACUGGGCGUAAAGAGUGUGUAGGCGGUGUUCUAAGUCUGUUGUGAAAUCUCCCGGCCUAACUGGGAGGGUGCGGCGGAAACUGGAAUGCUAGAGGAUGGGAGAGGUAAGCGGAAUUCCUGGUGUAACGGUGAAAUGCGUAGAUAUCAGGAGGAACACCUGUGGUGUAGACAGCUUACUGGACCAUUUCUGACGCUGAGACACGAAAGCGUGGGUAGCAAACAGG